rnacentral:rRNA from 1 species
UACGUAGGGUCCGAGCGUUGUCCGGGAGUGACUGGGCGUAAAGCGCGCGCAGGCGGCCCCUCAGGCACGACGUGAAAGCCCCGGGCUCAACCCGGGAGGGUCGUCGUGAACCGUGGGGCUUGAGGCCGGUAGAGGUGGGUGGAACUCCUGGUGGAGUGGUGAAAUGCGUAGAGAUCAGGAAGAACACCCGUGGCGAAGGCGGCCCACUGGGCCGGUACUGACGCUGAGGCGCGAAGGCGUGGGGAGCGAACGGG